CCGGAGGACUGAAAAGCUCAGCUCGGUUCAUGUCAAAAGCAGAGGGUCAGAGGUCAAAUAUCCAGUCUUCACAAGCGGGCAAGGCCAAGACUGAGAAUCAUGUAGUGUGAGGUCAUUGGCAUGGGACAAAACAAGAGGCGUAUUCCCUCACCGGCCAGAAGGGCGGCUCCAGGGGCGACCAUCUUUGAGGGAUUAUUGAAACCACAACUUUCAUAAAGUAAGUUUCCCACCCUGACAAAGUAUUGAA